rnacentral:sRNA from 1 species
CCGUUACCGCAGCAACGGAUAUUCACACCAAACAAACGGACAAUAAAAAGGCGCCCGAAGGCGCCUUUUCACUUAC